rnacentral:rRNA from 1 species
AGCAGCCGCGGUAAUUCCAGCUCCAAUAGCGUAUAUAAAGUGUGCAGUAAAAGCUCGUAUGAAUUCGGGAUUGGCGCAUCGGUCGUGCCUCACGGGGUAUGAACUGGUGCAGUCAAUUCUCACCUUCUGGAGAACCGCGAUGUCCUUAAUUGGAUGCCGCGGGAACCAGGACCUUUAUUUGAAAAAAUUAGAGUGUUUAAAGCAGGCAUUUUGCUUGAAUAC